ensembl:lncRNA
GCGCCGUGGAGUCGGUCGCGCAGCUCGGUUCCUUGAGCCGCUCCUAUGACCGUUCAGCGCUGCGCGAACACUUUAAUACCGCGCUGUUUCAUCCUACAUUAGGUGUGUUUGGCUACCCAUGAGCGCAGCAGUGUCUAACUGAAAGACAAUUUCAUGGGAAUGUGUAACCUGUCAUAGCCUAUAAAUUGAAUGGAAAGCUUGCAGAGCUCACACAUUUUGCCUUGGACGAUCAUUCAUUUCAUCUUCUGUGGUGUUUCAGCCGUUUGCUCCGAUGCCUGAAGAAACUACAUCCGUGAACAUCAUUAACAUAUGCGGCUGCGUAACGCUGUGGAAGCCUGAUUUUGGGCGGAGCUCAGGCUCGCCGACUACGACAGCGCAGAAUGCAACCUGCUGGCAGCAGAUGUUACAACUUGUUUGGCAGUUCCUGCUGGAGCGCAUUAUACGCAGAUUCAUUUGAGGAACAACGACUUCGCUACCAGACUUCGACCGACAAUGCUACAGCUCCGAUAUUGAAGAAACACCGAGACACUUCGGACAUGCUGAUGGCGCAUAUUUCAACCGCUUACCGAUCGACUAUUCUCCAAACACUGAGAUGCCUUUCCCAGUUCUCCAGAUGGACUUUUUCUGAGGAUCACCCAACACACAUUUUUUUCGGAACAAAGCAAUUAUUUUAUGGCAAUGCUGUAAUGUAAUUGUAAUUUUUAACCUCUGGACAUGUAAUCUUCAAUCUCUUUCUACAUUUUUAACAUCUAUUUCUAUUUACUCUGUGUGCUGUUUUCCACUCUUUAUGUCAUUUUCUGUAUCUUUAUGUGGAUUUGGGCAGAAAUACUGUAUGACCUCAUUGUAAAGGCUUAACAACUUUGUUGAAUAAAACAAAUCAAAUCUUAUUUAAAUAGUGAGUCUGUCAUUAUGAUUGUUGCUUUAAUUGGGUCGCUCGCAAAAACCUUUCUGCAAAUUUUAACAAACGUAAAAAAUAUGUGUGAGUUUCUAAUAUAGUUAAGUUCUUUUUCUCUCUCUCUCUCUCCAUAAAAGAUAGCUACUGAGUGAAACUUUUUUUGAAGGCAGAGGGAGAUAGCCACCACUCCAACCUUUCCGGCGGAAAGGAAAGCACCGACCCGGCUGCACAUCUUUGUGGGUCUUCUCCACGGGAUGAUUCUUUGUCCCAGUUCAAGCCUAUAACACCAAAAACACCAGAAUUAUGAGAUAAUAUUACAAACUGUCAUGAGACUAUU